AGCCUAAAAAGCAAUUGGUUAAGCAAUUAA
rnacentral:tRNA from 1 species